UGCCAUCUUCCCACCUUGAAGAUAAUGGACUAAACAUCUGAACCUUCUGCAGGUAUUCUGAAUUCAUGUGAGGGAGAGAAAAGAAGACAGGUCUAAAAUAAGUCAAGACAAGGAACAUGAAGGGUAAGAGGACCAGGGAAAAAUAAUCUGUCCCUGGUGUGACUCAAAAUUAGUGACCAAACAAUAUGUCUGUCUCCAAUGGAUGUGGUUUUCCACUACUUCACUGUGUAUGCACUUAAUACCUAUAAAAACUUACCCAUUUAC